CACCUUUACUUUUUUUUUUUUUUUUUCUGUGGUCCAUCAUGAUAUUUUUAUAAUCUCAUAAUUUUAACAUAUUCUGUCAGAAAGCUGCUAGAAUUAACAGAGAACUUGAACUCGAAGCUCCCAGUGCUGAUCUUGAAGAAGCUACACCAACAGACGAUAACAUUCUGUUUACUGUUAUACAUGCUGCACUUACAGUAUGUUGUUGUCUGCCAUUGUCGUUGUCAAUGUUUUUGUUGUUCAUCAUGUGAUCAGUUCUCUUUCUUCCUGUCUUGCAGUUUUUCUUCAUCAGCUCUCCACAAUAUCAGCCCUUCCAAAAGCUUCCACAUCAAUUUUUCUCGUGUGGCACAUCUGCUCUUAGUGCUUUACUGCCGUCUUCCAGUUUUUGCAUGUUUACUUAUUAUCUUUUAAUUUCUCCUCUACAGUCAACACUCACUCUCGUCACUAAUUUGUCACAUGACAAAUCAAAUCUUCAGUUAAUUUGGCCAAAUCAGAUCACUUGAAGCUGUUCACACCAAGAGCAUGAUCUGUAAUGAUAACUAUUUUAACCAUUUAUUUUUCAUACUAACAUACAAUAACAUUGUUUAUUAUGAGUGUGUGCUGCAGUUAUGUUGUCUGCAUUUACAUGCUCAGGCUAUUUGGCUCUCAAUGUUUUUAUUUUUCAUCAUCUGGAAAAAUUUGUUCUGAAAGAGAUUCCAAUCAUAUUGUUUCUCUGUGUCAUUUCAUGUUAAAUAGCUGCAGUGUGGAUUCAUCCUUGGUGUGAAGAGGCCUUUAAACUGCUUACAACAAAAUCGUCAGCAGGUAGAAACUGACAGUUUGCAUGAUGGCCUUUUCUCAGACUCUGAAUCUGAUGUGUACAGAUGAACUCAGGAGCCUGCUGGAGUUGCCAGGGAACGUGAGCUUGAACUGGAGACAAAAAACGCAAAGAAAAUCAGUCACAGCUAGCCAGUUGAACCAGCCCUGAUGAAUGAGGAAUGAACUG